rnacentral:lncRNA from 1 species
UUACAUUAUCAGAGACCAUCAACCCCCAUUAGCACUAUCCAUGAGAACACAUCAAUUGAUAUAUUCUCGCAACCCCCGCAAGCAUUAUCCAUCAAAUUUAGUCUGUAACAUUGCUGUAAGGGAGGUUGCCAAGCUUUCAAGUUUCAACAAACCUAAGCAGUUCCUUUCCCCAGCGGGAGCACCGUGCUCUUUUCUGCGAGCAACGAUUUUCUCCCUCUCUUAAUCCAACCUCACCCUCAACGCUUACCCCAAACCCAUUGCUGCUGCGACUUGGUGAGAGCAAUGCGCUUCAUACACGCUCUGAGAACCCUGCAAUCCUCUCUCUUUCCUUUUGUUCUCUCCCAGUUUCCCAAUAAGAUCUGCAAAAUCCUGCAAAACCUAGAAUUUCCAGAAGAGUCAUCCAACGAUGCUGACAAUGGUGCACCCGGUAGCUCCACAACUCUCUCUUCAUUGCAGCCAAGAAUGGUGUUUUAUGCCCGAGCUAGAGAGGU